CUGGUUGAUCCUGCCAGUUGUCAUAUWGCUUGUUUCAAGGACUAAGCCAUGCAAAUGUCAGUGGACCCGAGAUUUCUCGGGGGGACUGUGUACGGCUCAUUAAACGGUUAAUAGUCUACCCAACAGAGAAGGCAUUCGAGCCUUCCGACGGGAUAACUGCCCUAACCGGGCAGCUAAUACCUGGAAGAACAAUCUCUGACCACCAAACCAUGGAGUGGGUAACCACGAAGUGGGGUCAGGGAUGCUAUUGGCCGGAACAAAGACUAACGCCUUUACGGGCAGAUGUAAUUGUUGACGCAGGCCAAUGUAGCGGAAGCUCCUAUGGAGCGGUGUUGGACGAAUUCACCACCUAUCAGGUAGAAGGUAGUGUAGUGGACUACCUUGCCUCUGACGGGUAACGGAGGAUUGGGGUUCGAUUCCGGAGAGGGUGCCUGAGAAACGGCAACCAUGACUACGGUCAGCAGCAGGCGCGCAAAUUGCCCAAUGCAAACACAUUGCGAGGCAGCGACGAAAACUAGUAUUUCUGUUACCUAAGGUUUCAGGAUGCAAUGGAUUGUAUCUAAUACACACUGCUGAGUAUCUAUUGGAGGGCAAGUCUGGU
rnacentral:rRNA from 1 species